UACGUAGGGUGCAAGCGUUAUCCGGAAUUAUUGGGCGUAAAGAGCUCGUAGGCGGUUUGUCACGUCUGCUGUGAAAACUGGAGGCUCAACCUCCAGCCUGCAGUGGGUACGGGCAGACUAGAGUGCGGUAGGGGAGAUUGGAAUUCCUGGUGUAGCGGUGAAAUGCGCAGAUAUCAGGAGGAACACCGGUGGCGAAGGCGGGUCUCUGGGCCGAUACUGACGCUGAGGAGCGAAAGCGUGGGGAGCAAACAGG
rnacentral:rRNA from 1 species